rnacentral:lncRNA from 1 species
CUUCUUUAUUUCCCCUAAAUUCCAACUCUUAACAAACUUUUCCCCUCUAUUUCCCUGGGUUUUAUUCCCAAGCCUCAACUCCUGCCAGACUUUUUCCCCCUCUUUAUUUCCUCAGGUUUUAUUCCUAGAUUUCAAACCUUGACAGACUUUUCCCCUCUUUAUUUCCUUGGGAUUUUUUUCCCUUUCCAUCAAGGCAGAGCAGCAGGAAUGGGGCUUUUGGGAAGAGAAAGGUGCCUCUGGAAACACCCAGAUCUGGUCUCUGAACCUUCUCAGCACCUCCUCAAACCUUGAUUUAUUUAAUCAGAGCCAUUCCCAGGAUAAAAACAUAACAGGUUGUUGUUGAGGAAGGAGAGAACCCACAGUUAAAGUGACAGGCUCCCAUAUGGAGCAGAUUUCCAGCCAAAUUCCUCCUGAUUUCUGCUCAAGUCAGAGGUGAUCCCACACUGAGCCACAAGUGCCUGAAUUUUCCUGGACUUUAUUCCAGCAGCAAAAACGCUGAAUAACAUUUUUAUUAUUAUUUUUAUUAUUUUUAUUAUUAUUAUUAUUAUUAUUUUACAAUAUGAAAUGUGAAUUCCAGAUGUGGGGGUGUGUCUCACUGUGUGCAUUCCCUCCUUUCACUCCCUCUGUUUCCCUGUGGAUUUUGUCUGUGUAUUUCUGGAAUAAUGAACAUAGAUCACUGCUCUUUGUUUUUCCUCACCAAAACAGAGCUCUGGUGACUGAAGGAUGGUCCAACCUUGUCACCUCUGCUUUCCACUGGCUCGUGCAGCUCCUGGGGAUUCCAGCAGGAGCCUCUGGGUGGGAUGGAUCCCAGGGAAAUGGGCUGACUUGCUUUUGUUGCUGGCAGAACUGA